UACAGAGGGUGCGAGCGUUAAUCGGAAUUACUGGGCGUAAAGCGCGCGUAGGCGGCUUUGCAAGUCGGGUGUGAAAUCCCCAGGCUCAACCUGGGAACUGCAUUCGAGACUGCAUUGCUAGAGUAUGGGAGAGGGAAGUGGAAUUUCCGGUGUAGCGGUGAAAUGCGUAGAUAUCGGAAGGAACAUCAGUGGCGAAAGCGACUUCCUGGACCAAUACUGACGCUCAUGUGCGAAAGCGUGGGGGAGCAAACAGG
rnacentral:rRNA from 1 species